AUAUAAAGGUUCAGAUAUUAGAGAAAUAUUCAGCAUAUCAAUUCUCAAUAUAUCAUACACAUUUCUUAGCUGUUUUCAAGCCGUCAAGGUUUAAAAAGAAAGGAAAAUAUUGUUAACGUUCAGUUCUUAGCUAAGAACGAACAGAUAAGUGAAGAGUUUGUCUUUUGAAAGAUUGUAACUAUUCGUUCAUGAACGUUAAUACAAAGAAGGCUGAACGUGCUCAGCUCUGAUCAACCGUAGUUUUUUUAAUAAGAGCCCACGAGUGUACGAAAAAAUGAAUUUUACUAAAGAUUUGUUAUAUGAGGUGGUAGGACCGACAGAUAUAGAAGAAUUGUACAAAAUUUUGAACAUCGAGGCUCAGGUCGUACAUAUCAGCUACUAUUCAGGAUUUCUUAUCGCUAUAGUUAACUUCGUUUUCUUUGUUCUUGCCUGCACCUUGUACUGGUAA